rnacentral:rRNA from 1 species
UACAGAGGUGGCAAGCGUUGUUCGGAAUUACUGGGCGUAAAGAGUGUGUAGGCGGUGCUCUAAGUUCGGUGUGAAAUCUCCCGGCUCAACUGGGAGGGUGCGCCGGAAACUGGGGGUGCUGGAGCGCGGGAGAGGAAAGCGGAAUUCCUGGUGUAGCGGUGAAAUACGUAGAUAUCAGGAGGAAUACCGGUGGCGAAGGCGGCCUUCUGGACGGUGACUGACGCUGAGACGCGAAAGCGUGGGGAGCAAACAGG